rnacentral:rRNA from 1 species
UACGAGGGGGGCAAAUGUUGUUCGGAUUCAUUGGGCGUAAAGGGUGCGUAGGCGGCGCGGUAAGUCGGGUGUGAAAUCUCGGGGCUUAACUCCGAAACUGCAUUCGAUACUGCCGUGCUUGAGGACUGGAGAGGAGACUGGAAUUUACGGUGUAGCAGUGAAAUGCGUAGAGAUCGUAAGGAAGACCAGUGGCGAAGGCGGGUCUCUGGACAGUUCCUGACACUGAGGCACGAAGGCCAGGGGAGCAAACGGG